AGAUAAUGUACUCUAUAUGACUUCAGUUCUUUAAAAUUGUUGAAGUUUGUUUUACGGCCCGAGGAUGAUCUGUAUUCUUAAUGCACCUGUUUCAAUUUAUCUGAAUCCCUUCCGUGCUAAUUUGCAAUGUAAGGCUAGGAAAUUGCUCCUCAUCAUCUCCAUUUUACUUCUGUAGCUACAGAGAGCCAAGGUCUCAAAAAGAAUAUCAAGUUUCCUUGGCUCUGUUCUACAGUGGUUUUCAAGUCACAGAUUAAUUUCUUAGUUGCAUUUCAUGUAGUUGUCUUUAGGUGGCAGCAAAACAUGACAAAAGGAGAACUAGCCCCUUCUUCCUCAACCCACUACGUAAAAAAAAAAAAAAAAAUGAAAGUAAAAGAAAUGGGUGUAUUUCUGCUGCCUUGAAAGCUGGGAUACUCCCUUGAACAAUGUCUUUUUAAUAUAUCUGCCAAUUUGAGAGAAGAAAAAAGAUUAUUAUUUUUUAAGUGGCCUUUAAAACUUGUUAGGUUGAAUUUACAUUUGUGUGUUUUUAUUGGAUGCUUUCCCCCUUUAAUUUAUCUUUUCAUUUUAAUCGUUCAUUUUCCUGUUGAGAGUUUUGAAGGACAACUUAAGGCUUUUUCCUUUUUAUCAUUACAAAAAUAAUUCAACUCAUUAAAGAAAAGUAAAAAAUGUCAUAAAGGAGAAAAAUGCAAGUUACAUGUUACCACUAAUAGCAUUUUGAUACACUUUGCCUGUUCCUAUGUUGGUGUUUUGGUGGUGUGCUUUGGAUUUAAAAUUAUAUUCUUGUCCAGUUUUGCUUCCUAAUUUUUAAAAAAAUAUUGUAUUUAGUUGUUGAUAGACCUUUAUUUUAUUUAUUUAUAUAUGGUGUUGAGAAUUGAACCCAGUGCCUCACACAUGCCAGGGAAAUGUGCUAGCACAGAGCCACAGCCCCAACCCCACUUACUAAUUUUUAAGUAAAAUUAAUAUUGUGAUCCUUUUUAUGUUACUAAACUUUUUUGAAUAUUCUUUACAAUAAUUUCAUUAAAAUUUAAAAAAUAAUAUACAACUAAUCUUUUUGUACAUUAUUGUUAAUUUUUAUAUUUAUUGCUCCAGAUUAAAUUUGAAUAUAUGUCAACUCCUUCCCCAUCUAGAAUUUUUGAAAUUCGGGUUGAUUGAAAUCUAUAUAAUAAUUUGGGAAUAAGAGAUGAAGCAACAAUUAAAGACAGGCAGUCAGUGUAGAUAGAUAAUAGGAUAGGAUUUUGAAAAUGAAGGCAGGUUUAGGUGUGGGAAGUUAAAGAGAACCACCUCUGGGAGAUUGUUAAUACCUCCAGAGCCCUUCCUCCACUCAUACCAAGAUAGUCUGCCCCUGCUCCAACCUGUUGCUAAGGUAACCCGUCCCAGGAAUUGUUCCUCCAAAAGGUGUAAAUUAAUGCCUCCUGGGCUGUUGCUCUCUUCCUGCCCAUCUGCUUCUCACCUUUUGGCCAUCCCAAGGGCAUCUCCUUGGCCUAGUCUGGUAUAGGGAUGGGGAAAGGAAGUAGCCAGAUGAGGAGGGAAGAGGGCAGGAGAACAAAAAAAAA
rnacentral:lncRNA from 1 species